GGGUGCUAUCAUACCAGCGUUAAUGCACCGGAUCCCAUCAGAACUCCGCAGUUAAGCGCGCUUGGGCUAGAGUAGUACUGGGAUGGGUGACCUCCCGG
rnacentral:rRNA from 1 species